rnacentral:rRNA from 1 species
GUAAGGAAUAUUGGUCAAUGGGCGGAAGCCUGAACCAGCCAUGCCGCGUGCAGGAAGACGGCCCUACGGGUUGUAAACUGCUUUUGUACCGGAAUAAACCCUGAUAUGUAUAUCAGGCUGAAUGUACGGUAAGAAUAAGGAUCGGCUAACUCCGUGCCAGCAGCCGCGGUAAUACGGAGGAUCCGAGCGUUAUCCGGAUUUAUUGGGUUUAAAGGGUGCGUAGGCGGCUUUUUAAGUCAGGGGUGAAAGACGGUAGCUCAACUAUCGCAGUGCCCUUGAUACUGAAGAGCUUGAAUGUACUUGAGGUAGGCGGAAUGUGACAAGUAGCGGUGAAAUGCAUAGAUAUGUCACAGAACACCAAUUGCGAAGGCAGCUUACUAAAGUAUGAUUGACGCUGAGGCACGAAAGCGUGGGGAUCAAAC